AAAUGCGAUAAGUAAUGUGAAUUGCAGAAUUCAGUGAAUCAUCGAAUCUUUGAACGCACCUUGCGCCCUUUGGUAUUCCGAAGGGCAUGCUUGUUUGAGUGUCAUUAUAUUCUCAAACCUUGAUAGCUUUGCGGCUACUCGAGGCUUUGGAUGUGAGGGCUUGCUGGCUUCCUUAAGUGGCGGUCUGCUCCCUUUAAAUGCAUUAGUGGGAUCCUUUGUGGAUCGGUCACUUGGUGUGAUAAUCUAUCUACGCCGCCUGGCUGAGAAGCAUAUAAUUGGGAACCUGCUCAUAACCGUCUGCUUGCAGACAACCUUCUUAAUGUUUGACCUCAAAUCAAGUAGGACUACCCGCUGAACUUAA
rnacentral:rRNA from 1 species